UUUCCUGCUUUUAGGAAUCAAAGCUGAUACUUUAUAAUAAUUCUAAUAAGAACAAUAAUGUUAAAACUAAAUGUUUAAUUUCUUGCACCUUUCAUUGGACUACAAUAGCGUGCUAACCACUAAGAAAAUGGUAUAAGAAACAGACCCAUCUUGUUCAAAAUAGUAUAAGAAUCCGGGCUUGGCUUUUCGUAUAUGCAGCGAUCUUUUGCUUCAUAAUCUGCUGUUGAUUUAGGUGAGAUAACUGCUUCAUUUAACUGGUUCCUUGAACAUUUUAUUAUGAAUGCACUGUUUAUAAUUGAGGUUAUUCGACGGGGGGAAGCUUUCUUAUUAUAAUUUAUAGCUUUGACGUGUUGUGUAACAUCUGAUAGUUUUAACCGUAAGUGUUUGACUUGUAUAUUAAAAAGCCAGCUAGAUUUCAAAUAAGAAACUAUAUUUAGCUAUUUGCACAAUUCUGUUUUCGGCAUUUUAAUAACUUGUCCUCUGGCAGAUAUCCCUGACAUAUCCAGUAUUUGACCUUUGGCUCUUCUCACUAAAGAGGCCAAUAUGUUGUCUUGCAUGGUUAGUCUUCUUAUAAGUAUUAAUUUAUUGGAAGAAAGAGGCUCCCCUAUGUAUGCUUGUCUAUAUCCAGAAUUCAAUGGUUGCAAUAUUACACGGAGUGUGGGUAUGUGUACUGUUUACCUGCCUUCUCAACUAAAGAGAGACUUGGAGCUUGUUAAUCUGGUUUUAUUUUCAACUUCUUUUUUAUUUUAACAGUAUAUUUUGCAGGAAAAACAAAAUCACCACAAGUAUGAUGGUUAAGUCAUUUUUUUUUUAUGAUCAAGAUUACUUAUAAUAAAUGCAUAGAAUAUGUACCAUACUGUUCCGUAUGUUGUCAUCACAUUGGAUAAUUAUAGGAUUUAUUAUAUAUUAAAUAAUAAAUAAGAGUAUUCUCUUUUUAGUCAGUGAUAUCAAACUUAAAAGACAGGCGAUUAAUUCAAAAGCUAGCAUGAACGGAGAAAGUUUUCUGUGGCAGGCGGUGGGGGUGGGCCUUUCAUCUCUGCUUCUCUACUUUUUCUUAUUCUCUCGCUCUUUUGGUUGGUUGUUGCCGUUAGUUCUCAAGCUACCAUGCGUCCUCUUGUUUUUUUUGGUAGAUAUAUCAACUAGUUUGUACUUUCUCUCUCUCACACACACGUUAUCCCCAGGGGAUACUAUUGUACUUGUGAAGCAGGGGUAAGCAAAAUCACAGAAAAGGGAUCUAAAAUCCAAGUCAAACAGGGCCUAUUUCAAAUGUUCAAGUGGAAUGCCGUUGACUCAAUUAGGGCCCGGGGGAUACUAUUGUACUUGAGAUUUAUUUUGUGAUGAUUAUUUAUUAUUACUAACCCAAGGUUCUUCAAUAUGUAGAUGCCAGGUCGUGGUUUAAAGCGUGAUAGAGCAAACUUGAUCACUUCACCUCCAAUUAUAAAUGAAGAAGAAUGUAGCAGACCUUCAUUGUAACCUUCAUUAUCUCCAAUGAUGACUCAAUCUGAUAGUAGACCCUCAUUAUCACAUGGUGCAUCACCUCCUCAGAUCCCAUCUCCUGAAAUUGAAAACUCGCAUCCCCCUACUCCACAGGCCCCUCCUACUAGUUUUUCACCAUCGGGUUAUGAUUUCUCAGAUGGUCAAACAUGGAUAUAUCUGAAAAGAAAACGUUUAAUGUUGCUGUUGUUACUGUACGAAAUAUUCUUCCUGUUAUUCAAGAAAAAUUUGAUCAUCCAUGUUCUAGCUAGAAAGCAACACCUUUUGAGUACAAGAAAAUGUGGUUUGAUGAAUGGGCGGUAAAUUUUAUAUCUAA